rnacentral:rRNA from 1 species
GACGAACGCUGGCGGCGUGCUUAACACAUGCAAGUGGAGCGACGAACCAGGCUUCGGCCUGGGGCAAAGCCGCGAACGGGUGAGUAACACGUGGGUAACCUGCCCCGAUGACCGGGACAACCCGAGGAAACUCGGGCUAAUACCGGAUGAGCUGCCCUCACAUCAGUGAGGGUCGGAAAGGAGCUUCGGCCUCCGCAUCGGGAUGGGCCCGCGGCCCAUUAGCUUGUUGGUGAGGUAACGGCUCACCAAGGCUGCGAUGGGUAGCUGGUCUGAGAGGACGAUCAGCCACACUGGGACUGAGACACGGCCCAGACUCCUACGGGAGGCAGCAGUGGGGAAUCUUGCGCAAUGCGCGAAAGCGUGACGCAGCAACGCCGCGUGGGGGAAGAAGGCCUCGGGU